UACGGAGGAUGCGAGCGUUAUCCGGAUUUAUUGGGUUUAAAGGGUGCGUAGGCGGACUGUCAAGUCAGCGGUAAAAUACGGGGGUUCAACCUCCGCCCGCCGUUGAAACUGACGGUCUUGAGUGGGCGAGAAGUAUGCGGAAUGCGUGGUGUAGCGGUGAAAUGCAUAGAUAUCACGCAGAACUCCGAUUGCGAAGGCAGCAUACCGGCGCCCAACUGACGCUGAAGCACGAAAGCGUGGGUAUCGAACAGG
rnacentral:rRNA from 1 species